UUAUUAGCUUGCUUGGCCACUUCUAUAAAGUUGUUGCUCCUUAGUAAAGUGAUUUUUUAUGGGAGCUUCGCUAUACAUCCAUGUGCUAGGUGUUUUAACUUUUCUGUAUAGUCAAUCAUGCAAAUGCUUUAGUUUCUCAGCUCGUCCAACUAAGUUCGUUGCGACACUAUAGUUGAGUUUGAGGAGUUGUUCAUUUUUUUCGACAAAUGAGGAGUUGUUCACAGAUUUUUCUUUGCUAAAAAACAAAGUUGUCUAUGUUCCAUACUUUUUCGAGUUUACUUUGAUGUUUUAGCAACAUCCUUAAGUUGCUUUACACUUUAUCCAAAGUUGCUUAUUCCGUUUCAUUAAGUUGAUUAAUGACUUUAGCUUAAGUUGAUUAGUCAUUUCAUCUUAAGUUGCAUUCCACUUUAUCCUAAGUUGCUUUUUCCAUGUAAUUAAAUUGAUUAGUCCCUUUAUCUUAAGUUGCUUCCACUUUAUCCUAAGUUGCAUAUCAUGUUUUAUUAAGCUGAUUAUCCACUUUAGUUCAUGUUGUUUUCCGCUUUCUCCUAAUUUCUUAUGGACCAGGGGAUCAUGACUCCAUGCUUGUAGGUCACCUUGGUUAAACACUUGCAUUUUCAAUUCGGUAGCUCAUUGAAAGAGUGCCUGCUCUAGUUGCAUCCCAGUUGGGGGUGUAUGCAACUAAUGCAAUGUCAGCAUCAACUCAUCCUAUGAGUUAUCCCAGGUGCUUAUUUGUGAUAUUGCUAAGUUGUACCGAGAAGCGGUGAAUCCCGGGAGGCGUAGCUAGUACCAUCUCGAGCGUGGUGGUGGAGGAGACCAUGGCGCCUAACUCGAGCAGGUACGGCGCCAUCAUGCCUAGCGCAAGCGCAAGCCCGCCGUUGCCCCUAUCCAAGUAGUUGCGGUUUCCAUUGAAAUCCAGAUCUUCAUAGAGAUCCGGAGGAGGAAUAAGAGAUGAAAGUUUCGUCUUGCAGAACAAGUAUUUGGAGGAGCAAGGAGAGCGGAAGUAGUUUGCCAAGCGAUCUCGCGCGCUGCUGUAUACUGAUUUUUUUCCUUACGUGUAACCUCCCUGAUGAUUUUUCCAUCACCUGUAACCUCCUUUUUUGC